rnacentral:rRNA from 1 species
UACAGAGGUCUCAAGCGUUGUUCGGAUUCAUUGGGCGUAAAGGUGCGUAGGCGGCGCGGUAAGUCGGGUGUGAAAUCUCGGAGCUUAACUCCGAAACUGCAUUCGAUACUGCCGUGCUUGAGGACUGGAGAGGAGACUGGAAUUUACGGUGUAGCGGUGAAAUGCGUAGAUAUCGUAAGGAAGACCAGUGGCGAAGGCGGGUCUCUGGACAGUUCCUGACGCUGAGG